CCAGUAUCUGCACGUGACUCAGCCCUGGAAGAAUGACAGAUAACAAGAACAAUAUUAGUGACAUAAAAUAUAGGAAUAGAGUGCACAAGACUAGUGGCUAAAAAUUUGCAAGCAGUUCUAUGCAGAAAAGCUUCUGUGGCAUCAUACAGAAACAGGCAUUUAAAUGUUUGUUCCUACAAUUUCCAACCCUCUUGUAAUUCAAGGAAUAGUUAGAACCAUUGGAAUGUUGAUAUGAAUGAGAAUGUGUAGGCAUCUAGAAGAUUAGAUCCACGUCAGACUUUUGUUUUAUUCAGAGGUUUGGCUUCCUGCCCUCUCUUCAGGCAAUAAAUUGGCGGUAACAGCUGCUUCUAGCAUUCUGUUCAGUAGAAGUGUCCUAGCAGAGCAAAAACACACAAAAUAAGGACUCAAAACAGAAGUCAAGUGAGAUCAUCAUCAUCUUCAGCGCCUCUGCAAUGCUGCUCCGCUCAGGCCGUAGAAAGCCCUAUCAAAUGCCUCUCCAUAGAAGGAAGACUAGGAAGAAGAAAUUUCUGCUUGGAAAUAUGAGAACAGCUCUGGAGAAGCCAGUGUUUAGCCUGAGAAAAACAUCAAAAUGUUAUAUACUAACUGAAGAUUCAAAAACAGUGCAUUUUGAUAUAGAUGAAGAUGGUCAUCAUGAAAUAUCUACCAAGGAUUCACAAUCCCAUGAAGAUUCUAAAAAUUUGGUGAGCCUCACACAGAGAUCGAAGUUUAAUGAAUUUGUCCUGUUGUGCAAGGGUAAGAAGCAUCUCUCUCUAAAGGUCUUAAAAGCAUCCUGUUCAGAGCCAGAUGGUCCUUCAAUGGAGAGAUGUAAUAUGAAAACAUGCAGCCAUGAAGAUCCUGACUUUAAAGAGCUGAGUGAAGAUAAUAACUUUUUCAUCAUGCAUUACCAAGGAGAUGCAGUGCAGUUCCAAUGCUAUGAAGACAGCAGAUACUAUCUGUGUGUGAAUGAUGACUCCCUUGAUAUUCGCAAGCUGGAAAACAAAGAGCCCAACGACGACAAAAAUUUUUACUUCAGGGUGUCAUAUUUACAGGAAAAGUAACUUGUCUACCUUUCAGUGGCCUAAGUGUCCAUAUAGCUCCUAAGAAGAUGAGGAAGUUUGAGAUCAACUAAUUUCUGUUUGAGCUAAAUUUUUACAUUUUCAUAACUUCUAAGUCACCAGCAUUCUUUAUUUCUGUGAAUUCAAUAGCAAAAGAGGGAGGCCAAGUUUGAAAAACAUGUUACUAACUGAUCAGUCUCUGUGUCUUACCUACCAAUUAUGUUUUUAAGGAACCAAAAUAUUCUGGUGUGGGAAAAUAUAUGGGGGAUAUUUCAAAGAUGGCAACAAUAAAGAACAUAUUUGAAUAUGAUCA
rnacentral:lncRNA from 1 species